GAUCGAAUCUCAGAGCAAGGAUCUGAAGGUGGUAGCGGGAGAAGCUAGUCGAAAUGCUGAGAAAGAACGUCGAGCAGACUUCUUCAAUCAACCUUGGGUUGAAGAUGCAGUUAUACGUUACUUGAACCGGAAGCCAGCAGCUGGGAACGAAGGACCAGGGACCUGGUGAGUAUCUUGCAGGUACCUUACCAUCAAGUCUAAAGAAAAAAAAUGGUAGGAGCAAUCUGGUUUAUUUGUAAUUUCAUGUAUGAUGAAACCUUAGUACUUCAUAAUUUAGCUUUGAUUUGUAGCUACUUUGGUUGAUUCUUAAUUAUACUUUUGAUAAUAAGCCGAACGA